AUACGGAGGAUCCGAGCGUUAUCCGGAUUUAUUGGGUUUAAAGGGAGCGUAGAUGGAUGUUUAAGUCAGUUGUGAAAGUUUGCGGCUCAACCGUAAAAUUGCAGUUGAUACUGGAUAUCUUGAGUGCAGUUGAGGCAGGCGGAAUUUGUGGUGUAGUGGUGAAAUGCUUAGAUAUCACGAAGAACUCCGAUUGCGAAGGCAGCCUGCUAAGCUGCAACUGACAUUGAGGCUCGAAAGUGUGGGUAUCAAACAGGAUUAGAUACCCUGGUAGUCCACACGGUAAACGAUGAAUACUCGCUGUUUGCGAUAUACGGCAAGCGGCCAAGCGAAAGCGUUAAGUAUUCCACCUGGGGAGUACGCCGGCAACGGUGAAACUUAAAUGAAUUGGCGGGG
rnacentral:rRNA from 1 species